rnacentral:rRNA from 1 species
UACGUAGGGUGCAAGCGUUGUCCGGAAUCAUUGGGCGUAAAGCGCGCGUAGGCGGCCUCAUAAGUCCGUUGUGAAAGUCAAAGGCUCAACCUUUGAAAGCCGAUGGAUACUGUGAGGCUAGAGUCCGGAAGAGGCGAGUGGAAUUCCUGGUGUAGCGGUGGAAUGCGCAGAUAUCAGGAGGAACACCAAUAGCGAAGGCAGCUCGCUGGGAGGGUACUGACGCUAAGGCGCGAAAGCGUGGGAGCGAACAGG